AUUUUUUGCAUUUUAGGUUGUGUCUCAGUGGUAACGAUCAAAACCAUACAAAGAUGCAUACAGAUUGUAGAUGGACGUGUUCUCAGAUUUGGAGCAUAUCUGAUGUGUUGUGCUUUAAAAAGAUAGUGUUCUGAGGCAAAGAUCAAGAACAUACAUACAUAUCAUGGACGAUGACGGACGAAGGUGUUGUUAGAUCUGGACCAUAAAUGAUUUUACACAUGACUUUGUGUAAAUAUACAGAGAACAGGGUUACCAUGGAAAUGUAACUCUACAUCUAGCCAGAGAUAAAUGGAUGACCGACGUCCAAGUCACCGAACAGCAGUGAGAGAAAUACUGCAACCGAUCACGUGACAAACGCUUAGUUUUGAAUAGCAUAAGCCUUGCGAAGAUCUGUACAUAAAUUCAGGUAAAACUUGAAUUUAAACAAAAAUCCGAGUUUAUAAUAGUUGUGCUUACAGAGAAUCCAAUCUACAUUGUAUGUUUUUGUUUCAUUAUGUGUGUUCGGUGUUUGCUGUUUUGUCAGGGAUUCGUUUACAUUGGCUAGUUAGUUGUGUUUGUGAUGUUGUUUGAGUGUUUGUUGUGGUGUUUUGUGGAGAGGCUUCAGUGUUUGUUUUGGUGUUUUGUGGAGGUGUUUCAGUGUUUGUUGUGGUGUUUUGUAGAGGUGUUUCAGUGUUUGUUGUGGUGUUUUGUGGAGGUGUUUCAGUGUUUGAUGUGGUGUUUUGUGGAGAUGUUUUAGUGUUUGUUGUUGUGUUCGUGGUGUCGCCUGUGUGGUUUUCUCGGUUGUAAAUGGUUUUGUCAAAAGGGGUUUUUGUUAGUGCAGAUUGUUUGUCAAAUCGGGUUCUUCGUCUUUCAGUUCGUUAUAUUGUAUUUUGUUUUUACCAUUAGCGAUAUGAUAUUACUAUUUAUUCAUGUACACAAUUACAUGAAUAAAUUAAGUAUUGAGGUGUCUUCACAAGCACUGCAAAGAAGUCUUGUAGAUUUCACAAUGGUUUAGUGGAUUGUGCAGCUUUGCCGUUUUUCUAGGGCACAACGGGAGUAACUUGAGAGCUUCGGGCAUGCGCAUACAGUUUCUGGCUUUGGUGAUUGUAAAGCUCGAAGUAUUUGGUGAGAGACUAACCAACGAAGGACACAAACCAUCUGACGAGUAGCAGUUUCCUAGAUCAUACACGAAGAAACUUUUAGUUAAUGGAACUACAAUUGCCACAGGCCUGCCUUGCUGGUACCAUAAAGCUGCCGAUAAACAGAGGUGCACUAGUACCUGUCGAUACCGGUCACCAGAGACGCACUGGUACCCUAUCGAUGCCGAUCAUCAGAUGUGUGCUGGACCCCUUAUGUCAUGAUGUCAACAUAUUGAUCAGGUGUUUUCAACCAGCACUGAUCGAUGGUUUUAAUGGAAUUCAAAGCUUGAUGGAUAUAUCGUCUGUAUUUGUCCUGUCGUACUCACGGUAAAGAGCUCUUCAACACCUCUUGCACAAAACAAAAAAUCCUGGAUGGCCGGGCAGACGAAGACUUCAGUCAGGUUUGAAAAGGCAAGAAAACAGUUUUACGUUACUGAAAGACAUAGAAAAGAAUCGAUUGCAGAAACAUAUCAUCAUGCCGUCCUGUGUUUGUUAUUUCCAACAGAUGACAGUGCGAUGCGUUCCAGG